rnacentral:rRNA from 1 species
CGUAGCCGCGGUAACACGUAGGUGGCAAGCGUUGUCCGGAAUUAUUGGGCGUAAAGGGCUCGCAGGCGGUUUCCUAAGUCUGAUGUGAAAGCCCCCGGCUCAACCGGGGAGGGUCAUUGGAAACUGGGAAACUUGAGUGCAGAAGAGGAGAGUGGAAUUCCACGUGUAGCGGUGAAAUGCGUAGAGAUGUGGAGGAACACCAGUGGCGAAGGCGACUCUCUGGUCUGUAACUGACGCUGAGGAGCGAAAGCGUGGGGAGCGAACAGGAUUAGAGACCCGCGUAGUCCCUGUCUCUUAUACA